GACGAACGCUGGCGGCGUGCUUAACACAUGCAAGUCGAACGGUGAAGCCCCUUCGGGGGUGGAUCAGUGGCGAACGGGUGAGUAACACGUGGGCAACCUGCCCCUAGCACUGGAUAACCUCGGAAACCGGGGCUAAUACCGGAUACGACCUCGAGCGGCAUCUUUCGAGGUGGAAAGCUCCGACGGCUAGGGAUGGGCCCGCGGCCUAUCAGCUUGUUGGUGGGGUAAUGGCCUACCAAGGCGACGACGGGUAGCCGGCCUGAGAGGGCGACCGGCCACACUGGGACUGAGACACGGCCCAGACUCCUACGGGAGGCAGCAGUGGGGAAUAUUGCGCAAUGGGCGAAAGCCUGACGCAGCGACGCCGCGUGCGGGAUGAAGGCCUUCGGGUUGUAAACCGCUUUCAGCAGGGACGAAGCGAAAGUGACGGUACCUGCAGAAGAAGCACCGGCUAACUACGUG
rnacentral:rRNA from 1 species